rnacentral:pre_miRNA from 1 species
AGCUUUCUGAAUCCGUGUUCAGAUUUUGUCACACACCAACCCAUUUGCGUUGAUCAGACUUCCAAGAUAAGUGAAGUU